UGUGUGUGUGUGUGUAUUUGUUCAACUGGUGGACAAAGGCAUGAAAGACAUGUACAAAAAUGACUCCUCUUUUGCAACUCAGAACUCAUUUUUCAGUAUGAGUUUUGAUACAUACAAGAAAGGUUAUG
rnacentral:snoRNA from 1 species